UCGGACCCAGGGGGACUGCGGU
rnacentral:miRNA from 1 species